AAACAAAAUUAAAAAAAGGAAUAAAAGGAAGGAAGGCACAGAGAAAUAAUUUACAUUUUUAUGUAUGGUUCUUCUCCCUUUUAAUCUUUUUUGUUUUCAUUUUGAU
rnacentral:ribozyme from 1 species